rnacentral:rRNA from 1 species
GACGAACGCUGGCGGCGUGGAUUAGGCAUGCAAGUCGAACGGUAGGAUACCUUCGGGUAUCUGAGAGUGGCGAACGGGUGAGUAACACGUAGGUGAUCUACCCUCAAGAUUGGGACAACCCAGGGAAACUUGGGCUAAUACCGGAUGAAAGCAGCAGUGAUGUUGUUUGAAAGGUGGCGUAAGCUGCCGUUUGGGGAUGAGCCUGCGCUCUAUUAGUUAGUUGGCGGGGUAAAGGCCCACCAAGGCGAUGAUAGAUAGGCGGCCUUAACGGGUGGUCGCCCACACUGGGAUUGAGAUACGGCCCAGGCUCCUACGGGAGGCAGCAGUCGAGAAUAGUCUACAAUGGCCGAAAGGCUGAUAGUGCGACGCCGCGUGAACGAAGAAGCCCUUCGGGGUGUAAAGUUCUUUUAUAUGUGAGCAGUGCUUUCUAUGUGAACAGCAUGGGGAGAGAGAUAUUAGCAUAUGAAUAAGCAACGGCUAACUCCGUGCCAG